GAGCAGACGAGCAGACGAGCAGACGAGCAGACGAGCAGUUCGAGGACGGAGAUCCUCACCAUCUCUCACCUGCACACCACGACCUGACCUCAGUGAUGUGCCCCGACUCGAUGCAGAUCUGGAGCUCUACGUAGAUGGCUCUGCCUCUCGUGCCUCUACUGGUAUCGCUGUCGUCGCUGCAGUUGAUGUGUUGUGUUCUGCUUCUCUUCCCCCUAACUAUUCUGCCCCAGGUGCAGAACUCGUUGCCCUGACUGAAGCGUGCCGCUCCGCUGCAGGUCGGGCUGUGAACAUUUACACCGACUCGUCUGAUGCCCGUAGGCCUGUCCUCUCAGGUCCCGGUACUCCUUCCAGUGGGGCAGCUCGGCCCGCGCCGGGUAGCGUCCCUCCUGCUGGAUCACCUGAGCGAUGAGCUCCGGCGUCGCCACAUUGACGAUGUCGAACGGGCCGAAC